CCCUUAGAUGUUCUGGGCCGCACGCGCGCUACACUGAUGCAUUCAACGAGCCUAUCCUUGACCGACAGGUCCGGGUAAUCUUUGAAUCUGCAUCGUGACGGGGAUAGAUUAUUGCAAUUAUUAAUCUUCAACGAGGAAUGCCUAGUAGGCGCAAGUCAUCAGCUUGCGUCGAUUACGUCCCUGCCCUUUGUACACACCGCCCGUCGCUCCUACCGAUUGGGUGUGCUGGUGAAAUGUUCGGAUCGGCCGUUUGUCGCGGUUUCCGCGGCAUGUGGCUGAGAAGUUCAUUAAACCCUCCCACCUAGAGGAAGGAGAAGUCGUAACA
rnacentral:rRNA from 1 species